GGACACUUCAUACUCAUCAAAAGAAAAAUCCACUUAGGUGACCUUUCAGUUCUUACUAUCUAUACCCCAAACUCAAAGGUACCCACACUUACAAAGGAAAUACCAUUAAAGCUUAAAACACACACACACCCUCACACAUUGAUAGUGGGAAACUUGAAUAAUCCACUUUCACCAAUGGAAAAGUCAUUCAGACAAAAACUAAACAAAAUGCUGGAGCUAAAAGAUGUUAUGAAGCUGGACGUGGUGGUGCAUGCCUUUAAUCCCAGCACUUGGGAGGCAGAGGCAGGCAGAUUUCUGAGUUCGAGGCCAGCCUGGUCUACAGAGUGAGUUCUAGGAUAGCCAGGAAAUGGAUACUUUCUCUGACAGAUGCUACUUACCAAAAUUAAAUCAAGAUCAGAUCAGACUUAUAACCCCCAAGGAAAUAGAAGUAGUCAUUAAACAUCUCACAACAACAACAACAACAAAAAAGCAAAAAACAAAACAAAAACAAACAAAAGAACAGGGCCAGAUGGCUUUAGUGCAGAAUUCUACCAGAUUUUUAAAGAGCUAAUGCCAAUAUUCAAGUCAUUUCAUAAUAUAAACACAAAAGGAACAUUCUAGAAUUAUUAUAUAACACCACAAUCUUUCUGGUACCCAAAACAUGCAAAGAUUUAACAAAGACAAUAACAAAACAAUUUCCCACAACAACAUAGAUGCCAAAAUGCACAACAAAAUACUCACAGAAUCCAAGAACACAUCAAAAAAGAUCAUCUUCCAUAAUUAAAUAGGUUUCACCCCAGAGAUUCAGAGAUGGUUCAAAAUUGAAAAUCCAUCAGUGUUACCCACCAUAUAAACAGACUGAAGGGAAAACUACUACAGGAUAAUCUCACUUGAUGUUGAAAGUCUUUUGACAAAAUCCAACACCCCUUUGUGAUAAAAGUCUUGGAGAGAUUAGGGAUAAAAGGGACAUAUAUCACCAUAAUGGCAAUUUGUGUUUUGUUUUGUUUUUUCUCGAGAGAGGGUUUCUCUGUAUAGUCCUGGCUGUCCUGGAACUCACUUUGUAGACCAGGCUGGCCUCAAACUCAGAAUCCCGCCUGCCUCUGCCUCCCGAGUGCUGGGAUUAAAGGCAUGCGCCACCACUGCUCAGCUUUUUUUUUUUUUUCCCCAUAAUGGCAAUUUCCAGCAAGUUGACAGCCAACAUCAAAUUAAAUGGAGAGAAACUCAAAACAAUUCCACUAAAAUCAGGAACAAGAGAAGGCUGUCCUCUCUCUCUCUCUCUCUCUCUCUCUCUCUCUCUCUCUCUCUCUCUCUCUUCAAUAUUGUACUUAAAUUUCUAGUUGGAGCAAUAAGAAAACUGAAGAAGAUCAAAAGGAUAAAAAUUUGAAAGUAAAAGUAUUGUUAUUUGGAGGUGAAGUAAUAGUAUACAUAAGUGACCCCAAAAAUUCUCCCAGAGAGUUCCUACAGGUGGUAAAACAUCUUUUGUGAAGUGACUGGAUAUAAGAUUAAUUUUUUUAAAAAGUUUUCUUUCUAUAUAUAAAUGACAAAUGGAAUGAGAAAGAAAUAAGGGAAACAACACCCUUCACAAUAGCCACAAACAAUAUAAAAUAUCUUAGAAUAUCUCUAACCAAGGAAGUAAAAGACCUGAAUAACAAGAACUUCAAGCCUUUGAAGAAAGAAAUUGAGGAAGGUAUCAGAAGAUAAAAUCUCCCAUGCUUAUGAAUCAGUAGGAUUAACAUAAUAAACAUGGCAAUUUUACCAAAAGCAAUCUACAGAAUCAGGAUAAUCCCCAUCAAAAUUUCAACACAAUUCUUUAUAAAUCUUGAAAGAACAAUACUCAAUUUUAUAUGGAAAAACAAAAACCCAGAUAGCUUAAACAGUCCUGUACAGUAAAAGAACUUCUAGAGGUCUCACCAUCCUUGACUUCAAGUUGUAAUAUAGGGGCUGGAGAGAUGGCUCAGCGGUUAAGAGCACUGACUGUUCUUAUGAAGGUCCUGAGUUCAAAUCCCAGCAACCACAUGGUGGCUUACAACCAUCUGUAAUGACAUCUGACCCCUCUACUGGUGUGUCUGAAGACAGAUACAGUGUGCUUACAUAUAGAUAAUAAAUAAAUCUUUUUUAAAAAAGUUGUAAUACUGAGCUAUAGUAAUAAAAAUUGCAUGGCAUUAGCAUUUUAAAAGAUAGGUUAAUCAAUGGAGUAGAAUCAAAUUGAAGGCCCAGAUGUAGAUCUAUAGACCUAUAGACACCUGACUUUUGAUAAAGAAGCCAGAAAUAUACAAUGG
rnacentral:lncRNA from 1 species